rnacentral:rRNA from 1 species
CCUACGGGUGGCAGCAGUAGGGAAUCUUCCACAAUGGGCGCAAGCCUGAUGGAGCAACGCCGCGUGAGUGAAGAAGGGCUUCGGCUCGUAAAGCUCUGUUGUUGGAGAAGAACGUGCGUGAGAGUAACUGUUCACGCAUCGACGGUAUCCAACCAGAAAGUCACGGCUAACUACGUGCCAGCAGCCGCGGUAAUACGUAGGUGGCAAGCGUUAUCCGGAUUUAUUGGGCGUAAAGGGAGCGCAGGCGGUCUGUUAGGUCUGAUGUGAAAGCCUUCGGCUUAACCGGAGUAGUGCAUUGGAAACUGGGAGACUUGAGUGCAGAAGAGGAGAGUGGAACUCCAUGUGUAGCGGUGAAAUGCGUAGAUAUAUGGAAGAACACCAGUGGCGAAGGCGGCUCUCUGGUCUGCAACUGACGCUGAGGUUCGAAAGCAUGGGUAGCAAACAGGAUUAGAUACCCUAGUAGUC